UCCAGACUCCUACGGGAGGCAGCAGUGGGGAAUCUUCCGCAAUGGGCGAAAGCCUGACGGAGCAACGCCGCGUGAUCGAAUGAAGGCCUUCGGGUUGUAAAGAUCUGUUGACAGGGACGAAUAAGCAAUGCGAAUAGUUUUGUGUAUGACGGUACCUGUUUAGAAAGCUCCGGCUAACUACGUGCCAGCAGCCGCGGUAAUACGUAGGGAGCAAGCGUUGUCCGGAAUUACUGGGCGUAAAGGGAGCGCAGACGGCAGUGCAAGUCUGGAGUGAAAGCCCGGGGCCCAACCCCGGGACUGCUCUGGAAACUGUACGGCUAGAGUACGGGAGGGGCAGGCGGAAUUCCUAGUGUAGCGGUGAAAUGCGUAGAUAUUAGGAGGAACACCGGCGGCGAAGGCGGCCUGCUGGACCGAAACUGACGUUGAGGCUCGAAAGCGUGGGGAGCAAACAGGAUUAGAUACCCCAGUAAAC
rnacentral:rRNA from 1 species